rnacentral:lncRNA from 1 species
GACUAGUAACGGAUUAAUGGUAGACGGUGUGCGAAAUUUUCAGGCUUUCUUGAGCCAAGCCUCCAGUGACCUGUAAUGUUGUUACAAACAAAUGGCUGUGGCUGCCUGGCAAUGAGAUCGGCCACAGACGAUCCUCUGUUGCCGUGUUAAACGUAAGAAUCCAUCAUGAUUUCUAACUCACUUCUAAUGGACAUUUUCCAAACUCCGUAAAACAUAAGGAUUUCAAGGCCAAAUGCACAAUAUUAUGGCUUCUCAUAAAGCUAGUGCUCCAAUAAUGAAUGGAUAAAAAAUUCCUUCAAAACUUUUGCCCCUCUGAAUAAAAUACCCCCUUGAUGAUUUUGAAUAUCAAAAUCUAUAGUUCCCCCCGAUGGAGUUUUUAGUUGGUCCAUCCACCGAAGCGCUUAAACGAUUCGUAGAUAUUUGAACCGUUGGAGGCAAUCGAAUGGGAUCUCGUGAAAUUACAGGUUGUGCUACUAAUCUUCUAAUGCAAGUUAUUUAAUGGAGUAUGUCUAGAUAAUGCAACGAAACUGUUUAGACAUUACCACCAACCCAUCGUGACAAAGAAAGGAUAUAAAGGGUUAUUUAGCAAUGGGUCGGAUACAAGGCAAAUACCUCCUUAUCCGUUGCCCGGUAAUUAUGCCAGCUGGUUUUAUCCUUCCCCGACCCAUCAAACUUGAUGGGUAUAAAUUUUGUACCAAACUUAUUUUGUGACGGGUUCGGAUAAACCCGUGAAAGUUGGUUAAACCCAACAAGAAUAAAAACAUAGAUUUGAAUCAUUAUCCAACAAAUCUAAAUCCAAAAAUAAGAACAUGAAUAAGAACAAUCCAAAAAUAGGAACCAUUAUUUAGGAAAUCUAAAUCCAACACUAAGAUCAACUUAAAAAUCUAGAAAAUCGACCCAAAAAUAGGAAAAAUGAACUCAUAUACACAUAAUUCAGAUACAUGAAAUGAAAAUAAGAAAAAACGUUCACAAAAAUCCCAAAAACAUGUAUCUUAGAAAGACAGAAACCAUAAAAAUUCGAACGGUAAAUUGUGGUAGACUGGUAGUUCAGAAAUUUAAACAAAGUACUAAUGAAAUGUAAAAUUUUGCGUUCCAAUCUUUCGUCAAAUCAUCAGAUUCAUUCAUCACUCCAAACUUAAUUGAAAGACCAUAUCUGCAAAAUAAUUAUGGUUCCUUAUAAGUUCGACUUUGACCUAUAUACGCUAUAAGAUAACCAUUAAAAAUACUGAGUUACAAGACAAACCUCAAACUAAUCGUCAAGGUUUGUAUGGAGGGAUUAAGGAAGGCAAGAAUCGACAACUUAUCUCGAUCAAGGAAGAAAUCCUCUGCAUGCAUGAUUCCAAGUUGAUUUGUGUGGAUUGAGGCAUUAUCGGUGAUUAGAGGAUUAAUUACGGGUAAGUUAUGAGAUUAUUGACGAUGGAUUUGAAGAUUUCCGAGAGGAAAUUGCUAGAAUCGAGGAGAAAUUGUAGGAAUGGAAUGGUCUCUGUUGCUGGAUCGAGAGGUUUUAGUGAAUUUGGGAGAAAAAAUCGAGGUGGAAUUCUUAAGGACUGAAAGUGGUGGCCGGC